UUAAUAGGAUUUAUGGACUAUGGAUUAAGUGAGGAUUAAGUGAGGCUGAUCUUGAGGUGCAUGCGAUUGUUGAUAAGGAGAAGGAGCGUCAGUUCAGAAGCCUUGAGCUUAUUGCUUCCAAGAACUUUACUUAUCGUGCGUUAUGGAGACUGUUGGCUCCUGCCUCACUAACAAGUAUUCUGAAGGCUUGCCUGGUAAGAGGUACUAUGGAGUCAAUGAAUACAUUGAUGAGCUUGAGAUUCUGUGCUAAAAGAGGGCCUUGGAUGUUUUUCACUUGGAUACAAAGAAUGGGGUGUUAAUGUUCAGCCCUUGUCCGGUUCUCCAUCUAAUUUUGAGGUUUACACUGCAAUUCUUAACCCCCAUGACCGAAUAAUGGGUUUGGACUUGCCCCAUGGAGGACACUUGUCACAUGGAUUCAUGACGCCUAAAAGACGAGUUUUGGGUACAUCAAUUUCUUUUGAGGCCAUGCCUUACCGGCUUGACGAAUCUACAGGUGCUUGUUUGUUAUACUUUAUGAGAUAUAUGUCAAUCGCCUUGUUUUAUUUUCUAAAAGAGUAGAAUGAUUGUUGUAUUAGUUUAG